rnacentral:lncRNA from 1 species
GAAUCGCAAAGUAGAAGGGGAAAAAUGGAUAUCUCCGAAUUGCGUCAUCUCAUACAACCUGUAUGCUGAUACUCAGAAAAGUUACUACUUUUCUUUUUUUUCUUGUUUUUCUCUCGCGGUGAACGGUACAGCGAGACGGAAUGGUGACGGCUUUAGAGAGGGUAAUGAAGAACCAGGAGGCAGAAUAAAUUAUGAGAAACCAAGGUAAUUGUGUUUUAUUUUCAGGAGGCGAUAGGCGCCAAAUAAAUGAUGAAUAAUGUGAGAAACAGGCGUGCUCCGAAGAGACACUCGUAAAGCUGUGGCGUAACUCCCGAAACCUCUCACACAGCUCAUUCGCACACACAGGCGUACUCACACAGACGCAAUCACUGGGCACUAGUAGUGACCUAGGCCACACACACAGAUUAACACGCAGCGUAACUAUACGAUGGUCUGCACGGUCUGCACCGAGUAUGCACGCGACUUUUUAUCCCGGGUGCAUACACACGAUGUAGAAGCUCCCGCGUCCGGUUACUUCCAGCCUCGUGCUCAGACUAACUUCUUCCGCCGGCGCCAGUAUUCCAAGAUGGCUCCUUCGGGAAGCCUCUAUACCCGCGUGAUUUUUUUAUUUUUUUUUUAUUGAGAAUGUACAACAACGUACAUAGAGGUAGAAAAAAAAAGUAGAACAGCUUUAGGACGUCUGUCCCAUCUAUAGCUGAGAGUACGUAACUUUGGUUUGCGCGGGCUCUCGUGUAUAGACGCGCGUCUCCACAUUUCAUGGACGUCGGUCCUUAAAUUAUGACUUACUACUAAAACUAAAAACUAAGCUAUAUAUUGUAUUAAACUUUAUAAUAAAACAUAAGACAAAGUAACAGUUUUUUCACUGAUGUGAAAGAAGUUAGCGAG